rnacentral:rRNA from 1 species
UACGUAGGAGGCUAGCGUUAUCCGGAUUUAUUGGGCGUAAAGAGCACGCAGGCGGUCGCGUAAGUCGGACGUGAAAGCUCCCGGCUCAACCGGGAGAGGUCGUUUGAUACUGCGCGACUUGAGGUUGGGAGAGGGGAGUGGAAUUCCCGGUGUAGUGGUGGAAUGCGUAGAUAUCGGGAGGAACACCAGUGGCGAAAGCGACUCCCUGGCCCACACCUGACGCUCAGGUGCGAAAGCGUGGGUAGCGAAC